UACAGAGGGGGCAAGCGUUGUUCGGAAUCAUUGGGCGUAAAGCGUCCGCAGGUGGCUAUGUAAGUCUGCUGUUAAAGAGUGAGGCUCAACCUCAUAAAAGCAGUGGAAACUACAUGGCUAGAGUGCGUUCGGGGCAGAGGGAAUUCCUGGUGUAGCGGUGAAAUGCGUAGAGAUCAGGAAGAACACCGGUGGCGAAAGCGCUCUGCUAGGCCGCAACUGACACUGAGGGACGAAAGCUAGGGGAGCGAAUGGG
rnacentral:rRNA from 1 species